UCCGUAGGUGAACCUGCGGAGGGAUCAUUACACAAUAAACAUAUGAAGGCUGCACCGCCAACAGGCGGCAAGGCUGGAGUAUUUUAUUACCCUUGUCUUUUGCGCACUUGUUGUUUCCUGGGCGGGUUCGCCCGCCUCCAGGACCACAUGAUAAACCUUUUUUAUGCAGUUGCAAUCAGCGUCAGUACAACAAAUGUAAAUCAUUUACAACUUUCAACAACGGAUCUCUUGGUUCUGGCAUCGAUGAAGAACGCAGCGAAAUGCGAUACGUAGUGUGAAUUGCAGAAUUCAGUGAAUCAUCGAAUCUUUGAACGCACAUUGCGCCCUUUGGUAUUCCAAAGGGCAUGCCUGUUCGAGCGUCAUUUGUACCCUCAAGCUUUGCUUGGUGUUGGGCGUUUUUUGUCUUUGGUUUUGUCCAAAGACUCGCCUUAAAACGAUUGGCAGCCGGCCUACUGGUUUCGCAGCGCAGCACAUUUUUGCGCUUGCUAAUCAGCAAAAGAGGACGGCACUCCAUCAAGACUCUAUAUCACUUUGACCUCG
rnacentral:rRNA from 1 species